rnacentral:rRNA from 1 species
ACUACGGGUGGCAGCAGUGAGGAAUAUUGGUCAAUGGGCGGGAGCCUGAACCAGCCAAGCCGCGUGAGGGAAGAAGGUACAGCGUAUCGUAAACCUCUUUUGUCAGGGAACAAAGGCGGGGACUAGUCCCCGGAUGAGGGUACCUGAAGAAAAAGCAUCGGCUAACUCCGUGCCAGCAGCCGCGGUAAUACGGAGGAUGCGAGGGUUAUCCGGUUGUAGUGGGUUUAAAGGGUGCGCGGGGGGCCUGUUAAGGCAGCGGUAAAAGACCGGGGCUAAACCCAGGCGAGCCGUUGAAACUGGCGGGCUGGAGUUGGAGAGAAGUACGCGGAAUGCGCGGUGUAGCGGUGAAAUGCUUAGAUAUCGCGCAGAACCCCGAUUGCGAAGGCAGCGUACCGGCUCCACACUGACGCUGAGGCACGAAAGCGUGGGUAUCGAACAGGAUUAGAUACCCGAGUAGUC